rnacentral:rRNA from 1 species
AAUGAACGUUGGCGGCAUGGAUUAGGCAUGCAAGUCGGGGGAAUCCCAGCAAUGGGGGAACCGGCGUAAGGGGCAGUAAGGCAUGGGUACCUACCUUAGGGUUCGGGAUAGCCAUCAGAGAUGGUGGGUAAUACCGGAUGACGUCGUGAGACCAAAGAUUUAUCGCCCUUAGAGGGGCCCAUGGGAUAUUAGCUAGUUGGUGGGGUAACGGCCCACCAAGGCGAAGAUGUCUAGCGGGUGUGAGAGCACGACCCGCGCCACUCGCACUGAGACACUGGCGAGACACCUACGGGUGGCUGCAGUCGAGGAUCUUCGGCAAUGAGCGCAAGCUUGACCGAGCGAUGCCGCGUGAGCGAUGAAGGCCUUCGGGUUGUAAAGCUCUUUAGUGGGGGAGAAAAGCCGCAAGGUGUGAUCUAUCCCAAAAAUAAGCACGGGCUAAGUUCGUGCCAGCCGCCGCGGUAA